AAGAUUAAAACUCAAAGGAAUUGACGGGGACCCGCACAAGCGGUGGAUGAUGUGGAUUAAUUCGAUGCCACGCGAAAAACCUUACCUACCCUUGACAUGUCAGGAAUCCCCGAGAGAUCGGGGAGUGCCCGAAAGGGAACCUGAACACAGGUGCUGCAUGGCUGUCGUCAGCUCGUGUCGUGAGAUGUUGGGUUAAGUCCCGCAACGAGCGCAACCCUUGUCAUUAGUUGCUACGAAAGAGCACUCUAAUGAGACUGCCGGUGACAAACCGGAGGAAGGUGGGGAUGACGUCAAGUCCUCAUGGCCCUUAUGGGUAGGGCUUCACACGUCAUACAAUGGUACAUACAGAGGGCCGCCAACCCGCGAGGGGGAGCUAAUCCCAGAAAGUGUAUCGUAGUCCGGAUUGUAGUCUGCAACUCGACUGCAUGAAGUUGGUAAUCGCUAGUAAUC
rnacentral:rRNA from 1 species